CCACAGAAAGCAGCAUUACGACACGACAUGCAUUUCAGGGCAUCCUGAGGAGCAUAUGGUGCUACCUGCCUAACAAUGCUUCCUUCUGCAGCAACGCUGACACAAGCAUCCAAGGCACACUGAGCAGGUCUCCAUCUAUCUACCUGCUCAGCUACCUGGAGGCAUUUUGCUAUUCAGAUGUAUAUUGCAAAGACAUUUCCACAAUUAGAGAAAUUGUUUGAAAUUUGUAAGUAAUAUGCAAUAUUUAUCACGUUUUGCAAGUAGCUCCAUGCUAUUAGCAAACAGAAACAGCAGUCUGGCGGGGAGGAUAAUUUCAACCACAAUAAAGGAGGAACACCAUUUAGCUUACUGCAAUUAAACAUUUUUCCCAUUGAUGAAUUUGUCUCAGUACGUCCAAAAUGCAGAUUUCUUCCCCAGCUUCUCAAAUUGCAUUUUAUCAGACAGUGAUAGAGACACGCAAGAUAAAUCAUCUUUUAUCUGACACGUGCAGCAUGGCUUCAUUUGAAUAUAGAACUGGUUGAAAGUAAACCAGCUGCCCCGUAUCACCUCUUAUCCUACACAGAGAAGCAUUUCAGGCUCAGGAGAACCUAUUAUCCCACUGAUUCGGCCAUAACUUUUCCAAACAACCGCCUGACAGCCCCAGCUUGCAGCACUUCCCUGCGACCCUCCGGCAGCUCCCUCCCUGCUCUCUCUCACUUCCUCAGCACUGGAUCCCUGUCGCUCCCGGGGCACUGUUCUUUUCAAGAGAAAAAGUAAUAGGAGCUUUGGUGGCUUAGUCUGAUUCUGUGCUUGGAAGGUAACAGCAACCCGCCCAUCAGGCAUCAUGUGGGGUAUUUCUGGGAGGGACUUCUUAUAAGCCUGAGACUCAGCCAGGGAAAGGAUGGGGUGAUCUUCAUUAGUGCACGCCUGUUGGAAGCUACUUUCCACACACAGUUAUACCUGAGCCCAUCAGCCUGAAGGUACUCCUAGCAGCCCAAGUCAGAGGGGAAGAAGAAGGACCCACAUCUCCUCUCCACUGAGCAUUGUGGGAGCCUGGAAGGAUCUUACUACAGGCAUACCCCUUUGGCUGCAUGUAUCACCCAAUUAACUCUCUGUGCAGGGCAGAAAGGGGGAACAGCAAGCAGAUCCUCUUGGGUAGGCGUCCAGUUCCCUGCCUGCCCUAGUUGGAGCUGUUUGCUGUUGGUAGGACAGAGUUUCACAGUCAAAUUGAUUGUUGAACCACAGCAAAGACAUGAGAAGUCCUAGAAAUCUCUGGCUACAUCUGGGCUGUCAGUGCUCACAUGGAGACAAAUUCUGCCACAGCCACUCUGAAGGAGGACAGAGUUGCAAGAGGGAGGAUGAAAUAUCCAGAAGAUGGGAAACAGCAGUAGAAAAUUUGUACACUGCAAGAGGCUCAUCUCUUCUUUCAAUGAAAGAACCUGAUGAGGAAGCUCAAGCAGUGCAAAACACUACUCCUGGCACUGAACUGCAGCACAAUGCACUGGGGAACAGUUUGUGGCUGGAAAAAGAUGGUAUGUAGAGAUCUUGCAGCCCCUAGUAAUGAAGCUAAGAUAGUGAAUGUGAGGUGGUGGUCUUGUCCACUGUGUGGUCUUCAGCUCCUCAAACUCUAGAAGAUCUGCCCUGCUGUGCAGGAGCUGAGGUGACUCCUUUUAUAUGAGAAAACAGCAAAUGUGGGCUGAUGGAAAUUCCUGCCUUGCCUACAGGUAGUGUUAAGGUAAGACACAUUCUUGAUCCUCUGAUCAAUGAAAAAGGGGGGAAAAGAAAAAAGAUACUACCCUAAAUUCACCCAAAAUAUAACACAUUGCAAUUUGGUGUAAUGAUGUCAGGUAUUAACUUCUUCUCAAUAAUUAUAAAGCAUUCCUUCAGCAAAAGUAAGACAAAGUUUUAAUAUUGUCCAACUAAGCUGAAUGCUGCAUUAUGUCACAUAACUGAAUGCUGCAGUACUGUAUACCCCACGUGGGCCACUUAAUUAAAUUGAAUGCACCAAAUAAAUAAACAAAUAAAUAAAUAAAAAUUAACCUGCAUAUGUUAUUAUAGUUCAGCCCUUGAGAGCAUUUUUAGAAGAAAGGUAAAAACUAUAAGGAAUUACGCAGUUUUGAACUGCUAUAAUAUGUCACUGCUUGCUACACAGAGUUAGCACUUACAGAGAAUAGCUGAAAUAAAAUAUUAUUUACUUCCAGCAGUCUUCAUGAGUGUAUAAGAAGGCAUAAAAAAAUGUAUGCUUCAGUUUUAUACACAAAAAACUUCUUUCUUCUUUUCCCUCAUGAUUAUUUCACUGAGGAGAAUCAUAGAAUGGGUUGGGUUGGAAGGGACCUUAAUGAUUAUCCACUUCCAACCUCCCUGCCACAGGGAUAUCCCAAAAAGGGAUAGCUCUGCCCUACACAGCGCUUGCUGCCCUGCUAGGAAUUAAACGACACCGACUGGCUCAAGGGAGAGAUGCGUGCGCAGCAAGCAACAUUGAUUUAUAAGGUAUAUCUAAAAGGCUGAUAGCUUGGUAGCAUGAUCCAGCCCGACCCCUUGCCUACUUUUAUCGGACCUCCAUGGACUGCUGGAGCUACAAAAGUCUAACAAUGAUGGUGUUGCAUAUUUACCAUAUGAUAGCUAGAAGCUAGGCUUGUUUCUCCAUGCAUCCACGUACCCUUCCUGUGUCAGAAGCACCAACAUUUGCUACAUAUUUUAGUUAGGGAUUGGGGUGGGAUCAUUGGCUGAAUGCCCCACCAAAAAAUAAACAUCUCCAUUUAAGUCGGUGGCUGCUUUGCCUGAAGAAGGACGGCAAGGUACAGGGUCUGCUUCUCAUCUCACUUACUGAGAAGUCUAAACCCAUGGAAUUGUACCAGUGAAACAGGUGUGAGACCUGACCACGGCCCUUGGCCUUUAAAAAGUUCACAAACCAAAUUCUGUUCCUAGCAAUUGCUUUUUGAAACCAAGUACCUAAAUAUACCAUUGCUGUGGGCUGGUAAGUUAAAACCAGUGCUGAAAUGAGAAGUAGCCAUGUUCUCAACAGAACUGGUUCCACUGUGUUUUGCUUUAAAACAUAUGGAUUAUGCAAUUUAAUUUUGGUUUUUUUUUGGUGUAGAUGGUUGCAUUUGUUUGGAGGGAAGAAGCGCACGUUCCUCUCCGAAACUCUUAUCUGUAUUUUUGCAACAGUCAAGAUGUUGCAAACAUCUUGCAAACAUGAAGACCAUGCUAAACAUUAAGGUCGUGACUAUGGAAGUGUUAGGACUGACUCCAAGCCAGGCUUUCAGAUCCACCCAUUUGUGGUGCACGGCAGGGUCACGGCCGAGCAGAGUGUGCCGCAAGCCCGUCCUUACAGGUAAAUACGUGAGAUUGGAUAAUGCUCUCGCGGACUGAGCUGUCAUGCUCAUUUAAUGCUAUGGAACCCAGCAGAGUCCUGUCUGAAAGCACAGCUGGACGUGGACCUCGGUGUUUGCAGAACGACCCCGAGACUCCCUGGCCAACCAGCUAGGAAUGCAGCUCAUGAGUCAUUUCCAUGCAGAAAACAAACAAAGAAAAGCGAGACAUACUCGUGAAUAGUCGAGCUCCCUGGGCGUGGAGUCGGUUAAAG